AACGUAGGAGACAAACGUUAUCCGGAGUUACUGGGCGUAAAGGGCGUGUAGGUGGUUUCGUAAGUCUGGCGUGAAAUUUUUCGGCUUAACCGGGAAAGGUCGUCGGAUACUGCAGAACUAGAGGACGGUAGAGGCGUGUGGAAUUCCGGGUGUAGUGGUGAAAUGCGUAGAGAUCCGGAGGAACACCAGUGGCGAAGGCGACACGCUGGGCCGUACCUGACACUGAUGCGCGACAGCAGUGGGGAGCAAACGAG
rnacentral:rRNA from 1 species